rnacentral:tRNA from 1 species
GGCGAGAUAGCUCAGCUGGUAGAGCACUCGACUGAAAAUCGAGGUGUCGGCGGUUCGAGUCCGCCUCUCGCCA